GGGUUUAUAUGCAAAAACAAAAAACAAACUGAUAUUGUAUGGACAGCAAAGGAAUUAAAGCGAAUGUAAGUUGAAUUUGGAUGGUUUUUGGCAUGGCCCCAUCUUAAAACUAUUCCCUUUUCCUGUGUAGACUGUUGAGCUUGAAUUGACUUGUUCUAGGUUCCAGUAACCUGUUUUUGUUUUUUACAACAUGGACUUUGUACUUUGGGCUUGUGAUAGCUCUUGAAGAUUGGUGCUUUUAAAAACCCUUUUUAGAUGAUAGCCAGAAUUCAACGUGCAUUUUCAGAGGCAGAGAUGAUUAUCCUGGUUUUUGAAGUUUUGAGUGAGCUCAUUUUAUUGUGUAGCAAUAAAAUGCCGACAUUGGCCACUUAACUACACAUGAAAAGUGAAUCAAAUGUUACUUCUGUUCAGAAGGGAUUGCCCAGCUUUUUAGUGGAAGAGUAAGUGGAGUUGUGAUUGUAACUCAAGAAGCUACAGUUUGCAUCUGGAGUGUACAUCUGGAAUAUUUAAUGUAGCCACUCUGUGUGGUUAUUAAUGAAGAAAUGCCAAUGUAUCAUCCUCAAUAAAAGCAUGAGAUUUAGUAUGAAACAUCUGAUUUUGAACCCUGUCUCCUCCACUUCAUAGCUGUGGGCCAGUUACUUUAGUUUAUCUCUAAGUCUCAGCAUCCUCAUCUUUAAAAUUAAGAAUAGUGAUACUGUCUUCCAGAUUGGUGAGGUUAAAUGAACUAGUAAUCCAUGUGAAGAACUCAGCACAGUGCCUGACACAUAAGUACUCAGUAAAAGUAGUUUUUUUUUUUUUUUUUUUUUUUUUUUUUUUGCUUUUUAGGGCCACACCCAUGGCAUAUGGAGGUUCCCAGGCUAGGGGUCCAAUCAGAGCUGUAGCCGCUGGCCUAUGCCACAGCCACAGCAAUGCCAGAUUCAAGCUGCAUCUGCCACCUACACCACAGCUCAUGGCAAUGUUGGAUCCUUAACCCACUAAGCCAGGGAUUGAACCUGAGUCCUCAUGAAUACUAGUCGAGUUUGUUAACUGAUGAGCCACAACGGGAACUCCUCAACAUAGUUUUAAGUGACUACACAGAAAGAUCCUAGCAAAUGGAGCAAAACCACUCUUAGAUCUGUUGUCCUUUCUCCAUCAAAUAAUGUAACCUGAAACAGGCAACACCAGGCCCUUGUAAUAGGUCACUGAGUAAUGUGAUUCUGCUGUUUUAACUGAUAUUUAACUGUUCAUGAUGAGCCAGGAAAUCUCUCAUUUAUAAUAUAAGAAGCUGGGAUUAUGAACAGAAAGAACAUUUACUUAUACUCAAGGGUUAAUGGUAAUUUUUGCAAUGCUGAAUCUACUUCUGUAGUAACUCAUGAGUGUGUCCUAUGAAAAGAAAUAUUUACAUUUUAACAAAGGAAACAUUAAUGAACUGUUUUUCUUCCUGUAAAAUAGGGAAUUUUAUAUUGUUUUUAGGUCCUGAAUGUAAUACAGUAUAACACAUUAGCAUUUGAACUGUAAAAUUCAGUGGUAAAAAUUUUAGAAUUAUAUCAACUUAGAUUAUAUGGAUCUUCUGUUUUAAAGAUAUUACUUUUUAUUUUUUGUAGUAGUUACUCUGUCUUAAGAAUAGCCACAUCUGUUGUGGUAUAAUAAAGCUUUUUAGAGCCAGUUGAAAUUUUAUGAAGUUCUUUUUUUAACAAAGUUUUAAAGAAGCCUAUGUAAUCAUACUAAUGAAAAACAGACCUCUGACUUGAAAUAAGCCAGUCAAACCUUGGUAAUAAAAGAAAAUUAAAACAGCAAGAUACCAGAUUUUGCCUAAUUAGCAAAAAAAAAAAAAAAAA
rnacentral:lncRNA from 1 species